GAUGAACGCUAGCUACAGGCUUAACACAUGCAAGUCGAGGGGCAGCGUGUACAGGUGCUUGCACCAGUAUGACGGCGACCGGCGCACGGGUGAGUAACGCGUAUCCAACCUUCCCUAUAGUAGAGGAUAGCCCGGCGAAAGUCGGAUUAAUACUCUAUGUUGUAUUUAGAGGACAUCUGAAGAAUACCAAAGGUUUACCGCUAUAGGAUGGGGAUGCGUCUGAUUAGGUUGUUGGCGGGGUAACGGCCCACCAAGCCGACGAUCAGUAGGGGUUCUGAGAGGAAGGUCCCCCACAUUGGAACUGAGACACGGUCCAAACUCC
rnacentral:rRNA from 1 species